CUUUUUCUCGCUGUACUUUGGUGGUUUGAAGUGCUGUCGAUGUUAGUGGCGUUCUUCAGGUCUCCGGGCCUACCCUCCCCUCAUGUGGGCCCCCUUGAUGGCCGUCCGCAGUCGUUGUAUCGGCCGCAAGUGGAUGGAUUGUGACUGUAGGCUGUCACCAUUGUAGCAUUAAAAUGAGAAAUCUCCUCUAGUCUCUGCCCCAGCUGAGUACAUCAAUGUCAUAAAGCUGUGGGAUUGAACAUGUCAAGUUGGGACCUUGUGUAAAGGUGUAAACAUUUUCCUCAAGUAAAUGAGCUGGAGUCUGUAAUUGGAGCAUGACAUCAGAGUAUAUUUGAGAAUUGAGGAUAACAAGGUGUGCAGUUGGAGGAACACAGCAGGCCGAGAACAUAAACUGUUUUGGGUUUGGACCCUUCAGAAAAUGGAGGAUUAUCUGAAUUUGGAGCAGAUCUUCGAAGUGAAAGUUGGAAUUGAAGAUUUCUAAUGUAGUUUGAUUAUGGCUUAAUAAACCUUUUUCAUUCA